UUAGAGUUUUCCUAUGGAGCAAUCCGGUGUU
rnacentral:piRNA from 1 species